rnacentral:rRNA from 1 species
GGAAUUUUCCGCAAUGGGCGAAAGCCUGACGGAGCAACGCCGCGUGAGGGAUGAAGGCCUCUGGGCUGUAAACCUCUUUUAUCAAGGAAGAAGAUCUGACGGUACUUGAUGAAUAAGCCACGGCUAAUUCCGUGCCAGCAGCCGCGGUAAUACGGGAGUGGCAAGCGUUAUCCGGAAUUAUUGGGCGUAAAGCGUCCGCAGGCGGUCUUGUAAGUCUGUCGUUAAAGCGUGGAGCUUAACUCCAUUUGAGCGAUGGAAACUGCAAGACUAGAGUGUGGUAGGGGCAGAGGGAAUUCCCGGUGUAGCGGUGAAAUGCGUAGAUAUCGGGAAGAACACCAAUGGCGAAAGCACUCUACUGGGCCAUAACUGACACUGAGAGACGACAGCUAGGGGAGCAAAUGGGAUUAGAUACCCCCGUAGUC